CAGGAAUGACCUCUAGGUUCCAGGCUUGUCCAGAUGCAUAGAUGGAGGUGUUAUCCUUCAGAUAAGGCACCCUGGAAGAAGACCUAGUUUGAGGAGGGGGUUAAGAUUUUGAGUUUAGUCUUAUAUAUGCUGAACAUAAGGUGUUUUCGGCAAUUGGAGGGGAAGUAUAAAAUCAACAGCUAUGUGGCUGGGCCAGGAGAUUGCCAAAACCAGUCAUCUGAAAACAUGAUGCUCAGAAUGGAAGCAGUGGACUUUCAACUAAGCAAGAAAACUGAGAUCAAAGGAGUUAACGUGGGCUACCUCAGUGUGUUUGUCUCCUUAAGAAAUGCACAAGCAUAUAUAGUUUCCACUGUGAGAGGCAAAUAAAGUAAUGGAAGCUAAAGUAAAAUUACAUGUGCUCUAAACUUGAUUAUGCUAAAACAAAAAAGAGCAGGAACUAUACAACUGUAAAAGACAUGUAGCUCUUAUUGAAAGAACAAUCUUGCUGCACUUUAGACAGAAGGGAAAAACGGGCCAGCAGACAAGAGGGGGUUCACAUAGAAAACGAGGUUUAGAGAAGCAAGAUGUGCUAAGCCUCUCCAGCCCAAAGGGAAACACAGAAUAUGAAUGGCAUGAGCAGCCUGAUGACCAGAGGGUGACCAUUGUUUCGGGGGGUGAGCAAUAUUUCACUGAUGUCUCCUGAGCUAAGGGGAACUAUGGCUUCAACUGCCCUUUGUUCUAAUUCUGGGCUUGCCAAGCAACCUUUUGGUCAAUAAUUCAAGUUAAUCAUAACAGAGAACACUUUCUAAGGCCUUAGAGAACAUUCUUCUAAGCCCUUUACGUGCAUUAUCUCAUUUAAUCUUCACAAUAACGAAUGAUACAGGUUACUAUUAUCUGGAUGUUACAGAUGAUAGAAUGGAGGCACAGAGGUUAAUCAAUUUGCCCAGCGUUACAUAGGUAGUAAGAGAGGGCUGGGAUUCGAAUCCAGGCAAUUGGACUCUCAGGUCCCCAACUUUUAAUCACUUCCCCCCACUUGCAUACCCAGGUGGUGGUUGUGGUUGGGGAUUUAGGUAUUCUGGUCCCUGGUGAGGGAGUGAGGGGUCAAUCCCAUAUUAAUUUAAUAAAUUGGAACUCUUAUUUCCUUAG
rnacentral:lncRNA from 1 species